AGCUCCAAUAGCGUAUAUUAAAGUUGUUGCAGUUAAAAGCUCGUAGUUGGAUUUCUGGCAGGGUGGCCUUGCCCUCAGUUGAGUGUGCAAUUUUGCCCUUCCAUCCUUCUGUUAACUUUUGAGAGUUUAACGCUUUCCUAAGGGCUCAGAUAUUUUACCUUGAGAAAAUUAGAGUGUUUCAGGCAGGCUAGGCCGGAAUACAUUAGCAUGGAAUAAUGGAAUAGGACUUUUGCCUCUUCUGUUGGUCUGAGGGGUUAGAGUAAUGAUUAAUAGGGAUAGUUGGGGGCAUUAGUACUUAACUGUCAGAGGUGAAAUUCUCGGAUUUGUUAAAGACUAACUUAUGCGAAAGCAUUUGCCAAGGAUGUUUUCAUUAAUCAAGAACGAAAGU
rnacentral:rRNA from 1 species